AAGGUUACAUAAAAAAUGAUUCAAUAACUAUUGAAAUUCAUGUCAAGAUUUUGGAAGAACCAAAGGAAAGCAUAGAAAUAAAAUAAUGCUGAGCUGUGAUUGUUAGU